AAUAAGUGCAGUUUUGCACUAUUCACCGUUCGUCUUAUUUGAAAAAAAUUUAUGAUUAGUAUUUUUAUUGCUAUUAGAUGAUAAAAUAUGAAUAGUACUUUAUGUGUAACUAAAUUUUUUAAAUUUUUUCAUAAAUUUUUCAAAUAAGAUGGAUGGUUAAACAUUGAACACGAAUAUUCAUCACUACACUUAUU
rfam:Oryza nivara chromosome 2, whole genome shotgun sequence.